CGCUUCCAUUCUGCACCCGGCACGGCUGCGCCCGUUUCUUUCUUUUACUUUACUUUUCUCUUCAACUCUCAUUCAUUUUUAUUUACUUCCAACCAUCUUUGUAAACCUGCACGUUUAGUAUUUGGUCCUGUUCAUGUUUCAUGCUUGCUUGUAUGUGGAGACGUCUAAUAACCCUGUUACAGCGUCACAUGUGUGUGUGUAAUACUUGGACAUGUACAAAGCAAUAAGAGGUGUAGAUGGAGGUGAUGGAGUACUGCUGUUUGAGGGCUGCGAUCAAAGCUUGUGUCUGAAAGAGACACACACCCCCCACGCACACAUGGGCCUGAAGUGCUUUCUCCUUUGUUGGUGUCAUGAGGUCCACUAAUGAAUAAUGGAUGCUGUGUGUUAUGUGAUCUGGGCCUCAGAGAUGACGACAGGCUGUGUGAGGCCGACCCUGGAGCCUGAACAUGGACCGAUGACACAGGAAGGCAAACGCUGUAAGCACAGUACGUCUCUUUCACAUGAUAAUCAAAUGUUUACAUCUGAUCUCCGUCAGUUUACUGUAAAGAUCCUGUAGUUGUACACAAUGUGUCAGAAAACAGCUGGCUCUGCUAAUUGUAUUUUAAAACUUUGAUGUGAUUUAUUAUGUAGAGAGAGAAUGUAGAAUAGGAGAUGAUAACAAGAACUGUGCCAGUGGGCCUCCAGCAAAGUGCCUGUGACAGAGCCAGUGAUGAGGUGGCGUGACAGGAAAUCAGCUACGCUCAUCAACGGCCUCACAUGGGACACGUCUCCAAUCAGGAGUUCAGCAGCGCUGGUUGCCGGGUCAAACGCCCCCACACUGUCAAUGAGAAGUGGACGUAGUCAUCGGGGGACACCCAUUGGUUUGGGGAGCUGCCGUUUGGCGGUUUGCCCGAAGCCAUCUUGUGUUAAGCGUCUUAAUUUGGAUCGAUGUAGAAAGAGUGAAGGGAGCUUCUCUUGAAGUGCAUUCAGUGCACGUUGACCCUCCCUGAUGCCGUUAUGCUUGUACCCAGGUAUCGGAUCUCCCACUAUAUUUAAUGUCAAUCUGUUCUGCCGACAUCAGGGUGUUUUUUGAGAAAGCGGGACGAUGGCGGUCGUCAUAUUUACUGGUCGGGCCCCGUUCUCACAGAACUGCUCCGGCUGUCCUUGUAGUCGGGUCCUUUUCUCUCUCCACAGAUUUGAAUGCUGUUUGGAGUCUGUGUAAAUGAGCUAUGAACACAAUUAUUAGACAAGUGUGUAUUUAUUGUGUAAAAACCUGAACCCUGCACAGGAGCACAUACAUGUUAAAGAUCAGAAAAGGUUCAAAAGUCAGAGUAGGAAAUCAAACAGCAUCAGCUGCUCCAAACGGUUUCAACCAAAUGCAAGUGCAAUGUUCAUGGUGUGUUUUUGUCUUUGAUGGAGACGCGUGUGGUAGGUGGAAAUGUAACUGUGUGGCUGUGUGACAGAUGAGGCGGGCCUGAUGGACAGGAAGUCUGAGAUGCAGGACGAUAAAGGGGACAAGGAGUGCAAAGAGAAGCAGGCGGACCAGAAGAAACCUCGCAGGAAAGACACGCCCAUCCUCCACUGUCCUCCACAUAUACCAGGAGUGACGCUGCUGAAAGCACAGAAGCAGAUGGUCCACGUAGAGGACGAGGAGAAAGACGUGAAGGAAUAAAACUUUUAUUUCCCUUUUAUUCUGUCAAUGAAUUGUCACGGUUUGAGUUCAUGUGCAGUUUUAUUUUGUAGUUUCUUGUCUCCCUGGGUAACGUCACUUCCUGCCUUGUCCUGGCUGUCCCCCGUGAUUGACUGUCGUGUCAUGAUUGUUUCCAGCUGUUUCCAAUCACCUGCACCUCCCAAGUGUAUCUAGGUCAUGUGUGUUUGUUGUCACUGGUCGCGUCAUUGUUAGUUGUUCGUUAGCUCAUGUCCAUGUCACAGUUGUUGUGGUUUCUCGACUACGUUUUACCUUCUUGGAAUUUUUGAGUUUUGGAAUUUUUGACUAUUAAAGUCUGGAAAACUCUGCGUCUGAGUCCUACCUUCCCCAACGUACCGUCCAGACAGAAUGACGCGACCAGAAGAGGAGGCCAUCUCGUGGUCGUCCGGCGGCGGAUCGCACUGGGAGCGGGUGAUGGACCUCGCGGUCCGGCUCUAGGCCACCUACGCUCUCCACGCUCGGCCUCAGCGCACGACGUCCAGCGCUGGGCCGCAGCAGCUUCCCAACACGGCCUCCCGACCCAAGCCCAUGACCCCCCCCAGCCGACGCCCCGAUCCAGGCCCACGACUCUGGUACGGACCCCCGAUUCAAUCCCACGACUCCUGUACCGGCUCCCAGAUUCAAUCCCACGACUCCCGUUCCGGCCCCUCCACUAAAGCCCCCUCCCACCUGUCCCGUGGUCCCCUCCCCCCCAUGGCAGGGGUUGGACCGGCGUCCCAGUGCCCAGCCUCCGUGUCCUGCAGCCGGCGACUCCGGAGGCUUUAUGUGCCGCGCAGUCGGCAACGACUCCGGCUUCCCUCGCCGCGCAGCCGGCAACGACGGCUUCCCGUUCCAGUGUCCUGCAGUCGGCGCCCGGGAGCCAGACUCCUGACCGUCCUCCGGGCCGACCCCCGGAGCCCCCCCCGGCAGUCUGACCGCCCGCCGGGCCGCCCGCCAGGGUUCUCUGGUGUCCCUCCCGCCCCUUGUCUGUUCCUUGCCAGGUUAGGGCCAUCUGGAAUUUGGCCCUUGAGGGGGGAGUUCUGUCACGGUUUGGGUUCAUGUCCGGUUUUAUUUUGUAGUUUCUUGCCUCUUGUCUCCCUAGGUCACGUCACUUCCUGCCUCGUCCUGUCGCCAGUGAUUGUCUGUCGCGUCAUGAUUGUUUCCAGCAAUUUCCAAUCACCUACCCCUCCGUGGUAUUAACGCCAUGUGUGUCACGUCAUUGUUAAUUGUGCGGAAGCCCAUGUCCACGUCAUAGUUCCUGUCUCCUGUUCCUCAACUACGUUUUGCCUUUCUGGAAAUUUGAGUUUGGAUUUUUUGACUAUUAAAGUCCCUUUUUGUUUCUGGAAAACUGCGUCUGAGUCCUACCUUUACCUCCUCGCACCUUCCUGACAUGAAUGUUGUUUUAUCUUAGCUUCCUGGACACUAACAGC
ensembl:lncRNA